rnacentral:tRNA from 1 species
UAGCUCAAUUGGUAAAGAAUCUGUCUGCAAUAUAGAAGACCCAGGUUCAAUUCCUGG